CGACGUUAAUCCGUUCAUGGAUUAACGUCGCUAUCCGGAAACAUGACUAAACGGAACUGAAAACCCCAUAGGAACACAUUAAACUCCGUUUAAUGCGUUCCUAUGGGGCGAAAACUCACCGGUAAGCGAAGAUCCCCCAUCCAGCCGCCAUUUUCGCAAUCUCGGUAAGCGAGGGCAGGGCGCGAAAACGGAGCAGGCGACUAUUUUAUUCUUCCGGCGGCCAUUUUGGAACCGCCAGUCAGCUGUUUUUAGAACAUCGCGUUUCGCUUACCGAUAAUCGCAAUGCGAUUUUUGGCCUAUCUAAACAUCGCAAUGCGAUCGCAUUAGCGAUCGCAAAAAACGCAUCUCUGUGCGGAUUCGUCAUUAAACGGUGCGCUCAUUAAGCGAGGCACCACUGUAUUCAUAUAUUCUUUUAAUUAUUUUAUCACUUGUCCCUAGCAGUAGUUUAUCAGAUGUCAUUUGUUUUUCAUAAACCACUUUGUUUUAUCUUUUACAUAACUCAAGUCUAAUUGUAAUCUCGUCCACUAAUCUAGAAAGACUGUGCUCCUCUAAUUCCUCUCUAGGUUUGUUUGUUUGUUUUGUAGAUGGCUUUUUGUAGGUAGCGAUGAGGAGGAAUGGGCUGUUGAGUUUUACCUUUUGUAUUUUUCAGAGACUUCACAGAUCGUACAAAUAAAAGAUAUUCCUCAAUUUUAAAAGCUCCCAGAACUCCUCUUCGAGAUUUAGGGAGUGGAAAUGAAUUAAUUCAGGAAUGCAUUGUUGAGAAACAUCAGAAAAACUCUAGGCGUGUCAGUUUUGCUGAUACCAUAAGGAUCUUUCCACCAGAUCCUCAAGCCACUGUGGAACUAAACCAUGCAGGUGAGAACUUCAGUGUAUGUACGUACGUGUGUAUAUAUUAAUAAAUGUAUUAAUACAGGAAUAUAGGUAUAUACGACAAAACGUAAUAUACUAUCUAAUAUAUUGAUAUAUUUGCUACUAUUGCUGCAAAUGCUUGUCAUAACUCCGUUCUGUAACAUUUAUUUAUUUUAUUUGGUUUUAGGGACAACAGAAGAACCAAGACAUCAAAACGUAAUCACUAAGUAAGUUUGAAAUUAAAUUAUUAAACAAAAUGCUGAUUUUGUAAUAGUCCCAAACCUGUUUUCAGCUGUCUAAUACUAGUAAUAUUG
rnacentral:lncRNA from 1 species